GUGAGGAAUAUUGGUCAAUGGGCGGGAGCCUGAACCAGCCAAGUCGCGUGAAGGAAGAAGGAUCUAUGGUUCGUAAACUUCUUUUGCAGGGGAAUAAAGUGCAGGACGUGUCCUGUUUUGUAUGUACCAUGAGAAUAAGGAUCGGCUAACUCCGUGCCAGCAGCCGCGGUAAUACGGAGGAUCCGAGCGUUAUCCGGAUUUAUUGGGUUUAAAGGGUGCGUAGGUGGUUUGAUAAGUCAGCGGUGAAAGUUUGCAGCUUAACUGUAAAAAUGCCGUUGAAACUGUCGGACUUGAGUGUAAAUGAGGUAGGCGGAAUGCGUGGUGUAGCGGUGAAAUGCAUAGAUAUCACGCAGAACUCCGAUUGCGAAGGCAGCUUACUAAGCUACAACUGACACUGAAGCACGAAAGCGUGGGGAUCAAACAGGAUUAGAAACCCGGGUAGUCC
rnacentral:rRNA from 1 species